ACCUCCCCCUCUUAACCAAAACAUUAUAAAUUGUCCCAGUAUAGGCGAUAGAAAAGACUACCCCGGCGCAAUAGAGGCUAACUGUACCGCAAGGGAAAGAUGAAAUAGCAAUGAAAACCAUAAGCAAAAAACAGCAAAGACCAACCCUUGUACCUUUUGCAUCAUGAUUUAGCAAGAACAACCAAGCAAAGUGAGCUAAAGUUUGCCUUCCCGAAACCCAAGCGAGCUACUUGCGAGCAGCUAAAAUUUGAGCGAACCCGUCUCUGUUGCAAAAGAGUGGGAUGACUUGCCAGUAGAGGCGAAAAGCCUACCGAGCUGGGUGAUAGCUGGUUACCUGUCAAACGAAUCUAAGUUCCCCCUUAACCCACCCCCUAAAGACACCCACCUUUGUCAACCUUGAGAACGUUGGGGUUAAGAGCAAUUCGAUGGGGGUACAGCUCCAUCGAAAAAGAACACAACCUCCUCCAGCGGAUAAUAAUCACCCCUCCCCGCACUGUGGGCCUUCAAGCAGCCACCAACAAAAGAGUGCGUCAAAGCUCCCUCAUUAAAAAAUCUAAAACCCUAUUUGACUCCCUCAACCAAAGCAGGUUAACCUAUGACAAUAGAAGAAUCAAUGCUAAAAUGAGUAAUCUGGAACCUAUCCUCCUACGGCGUAAACUUACAUUAAUACAUUAUUAACAGAACUCAACUUAUACCCCCACACUAACAAGCAAUACGUAUUCCUCAAUCUGUUAAGCCAACCCAGGAGCGCCCACAGGAUGAUUAAAACCUACAGAAGGAACUCGGCAAACCAAAGACCCGACUGUUUCCCAAAAACAUAGCCUUCAGCUAACAACAAGUAUUGAAGGUGAUGCCUGCCCAGUGACCCCCAAAGUUCAACGGCCGCGGUAUCCUAACCGUGCGAAGGUAGCGCAAUCAAUUGUCCCGUAAAUUGAGACUUGUAUGAAUGGCUAAACGAGGUCUUAACUGUCUCCUGUAGGUAAUCUAUGAAAUUAGUAUUCCCGUGCAAAAACGAGAAUGUGAACAUAAGACGAGAAGACCCUGUGGAACUUUAAAAUCACGACCACCUUACAACCUUACACAGCCCCACUGGGUCCACCCACACAUAAACCCCUGGUCGACAUUUUUCGGUUGGGGCGACCUUGGAGAAAAAAAAAUCCUCCAAACCCACAGACCACAACUCUUCACUAAGACCAACUCCUCAAAGUACCAACAGUAACCAGACCCAAUAUAAUUGAGCAAUGGACCAAGCUACCCCAGGGAUAACAGCGCAAUCUCCUCCAAGAGCCCAUAUCGACAAGGAGGUUUACGACCUCGAUGUUGGAUCAGGACAACCUAAUGGUGCAACCGCUAUUAAGGGUUCGUUUGUUCAACGAUUAACAGUCCUACGUGAUCUGAGUUCAGACCGGAGCAAUCCAGGUCGGUUUCUAUCUAUGAACACACUCCUCCUAGUACGAAAGGACCGGAGAAGUGGGGUCAAUACCACUGAGCACACCCCAACCUUCUAAGCAAUGAAUACAACUCAACUGCCAAGAACCCCCCCCCACACCCAACUCCUAGAAAAGGAUCCAGCUAGCGUGGCAGAGCUCGGCAAAUGCAAAAGGCUUAAGCCCUUUAUCCAGAGGUUCAAAUCCUCUCCCCGCAACUAAGACGAAAAGCGUCUCACGAAAGUGAGGCGCUUUUCUUU
rnacentral:rRNA from 1 species